UGGGGAAUAUUGGACAAUGGGGGCAACCCUGAUCCAGCAAUGCCGCGUGUGUGAAGAAGGCCUGAGGGUUGUAAAGCACUUUAGUCGGGGAGGAUGGUAGAUUAGGUUAAGAGCUAGAUUUGCUGACGUUACCCGAAGAAUAAGCACCGGCUAACUCCGUGCCAGCAGCCGCGGUAAUACGGAGGGUGCAAGCGUUAAUCGGAAUUACUGGGCGUAAAGGGUGCGUAGGUGGUAAAGUAAGUUAUCUGUGAAAUCCCUGGGCUUAACCUAGGUGGGAAAGAUAAGACUGCUUAACUUGAGUGUGGUAGAGGAUAGUGGAAUUUCCGGUGUAGCGGUGAAAUGCGUAGAGAUCGGAAGGAACACCAGUGGCGAAGGCGGCUAUCUGGACCAACACUGACACUGAGGCACGAAAGCGUGGGGAGCAAACAGG
rnacentral:rRNA from 1 species